UACGGGGGGAGCAAGCUUUGUUCGGAUUUACUGGGCGUAAAGGGCGCGUAGGCGGCCACCGCAAGUCGACUGUGAAAUCUCCGGGCUUAACCCGGAAAGGUCAGCCGAUACUGCGGGGCUAGAGUGCAGAAGGGGCAACUGGAAUUCUCGGUGUAGCGGUGAAAUGCGUAGAUAUCGAGAGGAACACCUGCGGCGAAGGCGGGUUGCUGGGCUGACACUGACGCUGAUGUGCGAAAGCUAGGGGAGCGAACGGG
rnacentral:rRNA from 1 species